rnacentral:lncRNA from 1 species
UUGCUUAUAUAUAAAAGCUAGAAAAUCUUUCCUAAUUCUUCAUUUCCUUACUAGUAGCAAGAAACUGACUUGAUCUUGGCAUUCACAAGUAGAGUUAUUAAACUAGGCUCAUCUACUUGUCAAGCCUCUUAAUUCUUAUUUCAUAUUUAGAAGAAACUAAAAUAAUUACUUUUUCUAAAUAGAGGUUUGAAGGUUUCCCAUCAGCAUUCAUUUGUUUUCCUUCAAAAUUGCCAAAGAAAUAUUGUCUAUGUACCUGGAAAAUGUUUAAUAAUUUAUAUUAACUACCUCACCAUCAAUCCCAACGAACAAAUUGUUAAUUUCAAU